rnacentral:rRNA from 1 species
AAUAGAUACCCUGGUAGUCCACGACCGUAAACGUUGGAUACUAGGUGUGGCGGUUAUACCAAUGACUGCCGUGCCGAAGCUAACGCAUUAAGUAUCCCGCCUGGGGAGUACGGCCGCAAGGCUAAAACUCAAAGGAAUUGACGGGUCCCCGCACAAGCGGCGGAGCAUGCGGCUUAAUUCGAUGCAACCCGAAGAACCUUACCUGGGUUUGACAUCACGGGAAAAGCUGUAGAAAUACAGUGUCCGUAAGGGCCCGUGACAGGUGGUGCAUGGCUGUCGUCAGCUCGUGUCGUGAGAUGUUGGGUUAAGUCCCGCAACGAGCGCAACCCUUGUCCUAUGUUGCCAGCAGUUCGGCUGGAGACUCGUAGGAGACUGCCGGGGAUAACUCGGAGGAAGGUGAGGACGACGUCAAGUCAUCAUGCCCCUUAUAUCCAGGGCUGCACGCAUGCUACAAUGGCCGGUACAACGGGCAGCGACCCCGCGAGGGUGAGCGAAUCCUAUAAAGCCGGUCCCAGUUCGGAUUGAAGUCUGC